rnacentral:rRNA from 1 species
GGGUCAGUAGGUUGGUCGUGCCACCGGUACGUACUGGUCUCACUGAUUCCUCCUUCCUGAAGGACCGUAAUGCCAUUAAUUUGGUGUUGCGGGGAAACAGGACUGUUACUUUGAAAAAAUUAGAGUGUUUAAAGCAAGCUAACGCUUGAAUACAUUAGCAUGGAACGAUGAAAUAGGACGAUCGAUCCUAUUUUGUUGGUUUCUAGGAUUGACGUA